rnacentral:rRNA from 1 species
GAUUAAGUUAUUAAGGGCGCACGGUGGAUGCCUUGGCACUAGAAGCCGAUGAAGGACGUUACUAACGACGAUAUGCUUUGGGGAGCUGUAAGUAAGCUUUGAUCCAGAGAUUUCCGAAUGGGGAAACCCA